GACGAACGCUGGCGGCGUGCCUAAUACAUGCAAGUAGAACGCUGAAGAGAGGCGCUUGCUCUUCUUGGAUGAGUUGAGAACGGGUGAGUAACGCGUAGGUAACCUGCCUUGUAGCGGGGGAUCACUAUUGGAAACGAUAGCUAAUACCGCAUAACAAUGGAUGACACAUUUCAUUUAUUUGAAAGGGGCCAUUGCUCCACUAACAGAUGGCCUUGCGUUGUAUUAGCUAGUAGGUGAGGUAAUGGCUCACCUAGGCGACGAUACAUAGCCGACCUGAGAGGGUGGUCAGCCACACUGGGACGGAGACACGCCCCAGACGCCUACGGGAGGCAGCAGUAGGGAAUCUGCGGCAAUGGGGGCAACCCUGACCGAGCAACGCCGCGUGAGUGAAGAAGGUUUUCGGAUCGUAAAGCUCUGUUGUAAGUCAAGAACGGGUGUGAGAGUGGAAAGUUCACUCUGUGACGGUAGCUUACCAGAAAGGAACGGCUAACUACGUG
rnacentral:rRNA from 1 species